AACGAACGCUGGCGGCAUGCCUAACACAUGCAAGUCGAACGAGACCUUCGGGUCUAGUGGCGCACGGGUGCGUAACGCGUGGGAACCUGCCCUUAGGUUCGGAAUAACUCCCCGAAAGGGGUGCUAAUACCGGAUAAUGUCUUCGGACCAAAGCUUUAUCGCAUUUGGAUGGGCCCGCGUUGGAUUAGCUAGUUGGUAGGGUAAAAGCCUACCAAGGCGACGAUCCAUAGCUGGUCUGAGAGGAUGAUCAGCCACACUGGGACUGAGACACGGCCCAGACUCCUACGGGAGGCAGCAGUGGGGAAUAUUGGACAAUGGGCGAAAGCCUGAUGCAGCAAUGCCGCGUGAGUGAUGAAGGCCUUAGGGUUGUAAAGCUCUUUUACCCGGGAGGAUAAUGACAGUACCGGGAGAAUAAGCUCCGGCUAACUCCGUG
rnacentral:rRNA from 1 species